GGGCAGUUAGCUCAGUUGGCAGAGCACCGGUGUCACAGACCGGGGGUCGCAGGUUCAACUCCUGCACUGCCCA
rnacentral:tRNA from 1 species